GAUGAACGCUGGCGGCGUGCUUAACACAUGCAAGUCGAACGAAGGGACUACAAGCGUUUUUCUCUGAUUUUAGCGGCUGAUGAGUGAGUAGCGGGCGGGUAAGCAACCUAUGAGUCAGGUACAUCGUCGGGGAGGAUAGGCUAAUACCACGUAAUAUUAUGAAGCACAUGGUUACAAAGUUACAUGCGGUCGUGCGGACACUUAUAGAGGUAUCCGCGCUACCUUAGAUAGUUGGGAAGGGAAGGGCUUACCAAGGCAACUAAGCAUAGCCGACCUGAGAGGGAGAACGGCCACACGGGAAGUGAGACAGAGUCCACACUCCUACGCGAGGCAGCAGUAGGGAAUCUUACGCAAUGCGCGAGAGGCUGAUAGAGCAACACCGAGUGAGUGAUGAAGGUGUUCGGCUCGGAAAGCUCUGUUAUUAGGGAAUAACAUAUGUGUAAGUAACAGUGCAGAUCUUGACGGUACCUAAUCAGAAAGCCACGGCUAAAUACGUG
rnacentral:rRNA from 1 species